AUAUGUAAAUAAAGUAUAUUUUUUCAAAAAAUCUGUUCUUAUCAGUUUAAUAUCUGAUACGUCCCCUAUCUGGGGACCAUAUAUUAAAUUGAUUUUUGGAACAAGGAGAUGGAAUAGGGGCUUGCUCCGUCCACUCCACGCAUCGACCUGGUAUUGCAGUACCUCCAGGAACGGUGCACCUCCU